GACGAACGCUGGCGGUGUGCUUAACACGUGCAAGUCGAACGGUAAGGCCCUUUCGGGGGUACACGAGUGGCGAACGGGUGAGUAACACGUGAGUAACCUGCCCUCAUCUCUGGGAUAACAGUCGGAAACGGUUGCUAAUACUGGAUAUGAGCCUGCAAGGCAUCUUGUGGGUUGGAAAGAUUUUUUGGUUGGGGAUGGACUCGCGGCCUAUCAGCUUGUUGGUGAGGUAGUGGCUCACCAAGGCUUCGACGGGUAGCCGGCCUGAGAGGGCGACCGGCCACAUUGGGACUGAGAUACGGCCCAAACUCCUACGGGAGGCAGCAGUGGGGAAUAUUGCACAAUGGACGGAAGUCUGAUGCAGCAACGCCGCGUGCGGGAUGACGGCCUUCGGGUUGUAAACCGCUUUCAAUUGUGACGAAGCUUUUUGUGACGGUAGCAGUAGAAGAAGCACCGGCUAACUACGUG
rnacentral:rRNA from 1 species